AGGUAAUCUACCUCUGGGCGGGGAAUAACUUGCCGAAAGGCGAGCUAAUACUGCAUAAUGCAGCGGCACAUAAUGGUGAAUAGUUGUUAAAGCGGGGGAUGUUCGGACCUCGCUCUAGGAGAGGAGCCUGCGGCAGAUGAGCUAGUUGGUGAUGUAAUGGCUUACCAAGGGUUAGAUUUGUAGGUGGUUUGAGAGGAGGGCCAGCCACAUUGGCACUGACACUCGUGCCAGACUCAUAUGGGAGGCAGCAGUGGGGAAUUUUGGGCAAUUGGCGCAAGCCUGUACCAGCAACGCCGCGUGAGGGAGGAAAUCCUUCGGGAUGUAAACCUCUCAAGCAAGGGAAGAGCGCAAUUGAGCUAAUACCUGGUUUGUCUGUCGGUACCAUGUGUAAGCCACGGGACAUUACUUACCAGCAGCCGCGGUAAUAGUUAGGUGGCCAGCCUUUUUCCGAAUUUUUGGGCGUAAAGGUCGCGUAGGAGUCUUGUUAAGUUGUCUGUUAAAGCCCGGGGGUUAAUCCUGUAGGGUCAGCUGAUACUGUUUAGCUAGAGUACAGAAGAGGUAGCUGGAAUUCCCGGUGUAGCGGUGAAAUUCGUUGAUAUAGGGAGGAACACCAGAGGCGAUGGCGGGCUACUGGGUUGAUAGAGAUGGUGAUGCUCGAAAGCCAGGGGAGCAAACUGGAUUAGAUAUCCCGGUAGUCCUGGCCGUAAAUGAUGGACACUUGGUGUGUUGGGUCUUCAAGUCCCGGCGUGCAGGAGAUAACUCGUUAAGUGU
rnacentral:rRNA from 1 species